UACGUAGGGUGCAAGCGUUGUCCGGAAUUAUUGGGCGUAAAGAGCUCGUAGGCGGUUUGUUGCGUCGGCUGUGAAAUCCCGAGGCUCAACCUCGGGUCUGCAGUCGAUACGAGCAAACUGGAGUGUUGCAGGGGAGACUGGAAUUCCUGGUGUAGCGGUGAAAUGCGCAGAUAUCAGGAGGAACACCGGUGGCGAAGGCGGGUCUCUGGGCCGAUACUGACGCUGAGGAGCGAAAGCUAGGGGAGCGAACAGG
rnacentral:rRNA from 1 species